UCCUAGACAGCUUUAAGGGGGCUGUUC
rnacentral:sRNA from 1 species